rnacentral:lncRNA from 1 species
GUUUGGAAGUAUUUGGCCCGGUAGUUUCAGAGGAGAAGAUUUUUGUAAAAGAUUACUAAGAUUUACGAAAAAUGGUUAAAAAUUAACUAUAAAGGGCAAUAACUCCCAAAGGGGUCAACUGACCAUUUCCGUCAUGUUGACUUAUUUGUAAAUCUUACUUUGCUGAACAUUAUUCCUGUUUACAGUUUAUCUCUAUCUAUAAUAAUAUUCAAGAUAAUAACCAAAAACAGCAAAAUUUCCUUAAAAUUACCAAUUCAGGGGCAGCAACCCAACAACAGGUUGUCUGAUUCAUCUGAAAAUUUCAGGGCAGAUAGAUCUUGACCUGAUAAACAAUAUUACCCCC